rnacentral:rRNA from 1 species
UGGGAUGGCCCCGCGGUGCAUUAGCUAGNUUGGUAAGGUAACGGCUUACCAAGGCGAUGAUGCAUAGCCGAGUUGAGAGACUGAUCGGCCACAUUGGGACUGAGACACGGCCCAAACUCCUACGGGAGGCAGCAGUAGGGAAUCUUCCACAAUGGACGCAAGUCUGAUGGAGCAACGCCGCGUGAGUGAAGAAGGUUUUCGGAUCGUAAAGCUCUGUUGNUUGGUGAAGAAGGAUA